GCGGUGAUGACCUCCCAAAUGAAAGCACGUGUUAGACUGCUGAUGCGGGUGAUGCGAACUGAAGUCUGAGC
rnacentral:snoRNA from 12 species